rnacentral:rRNA from 1 species
GAAGACUAAUACCCAAUGAUAUCUCUAGAAGGCAUCUGAAAGAGAUUAAAGAUUUAUCGGUGAUGGAUGGGGAUGCGUCUGAUUAGCUUGUUGGCGGGGUAACGGCCCACCAAGGCAACGAUCAGUAGGGGUUCUGAGAGGAAGGUCCCCCACAUUGGAACUGAGACACGGUCCAAACUCCUACGGGAGGCAGCAGUGAGGAAUAUUGGUCAAUGGACGAGAGUCUGAACCAGCCAAGUAGCGUGCAGGAAGACGGCCCUAUGGGUUGUAAACUGCUUUUAUAAGGGAAUAAAGUUAGUCUCGUGAGACUUUUUGCAUGUACCUUAUGAAUAAGGACCGGCUAAUUCCGUGCCAGCAGCCGCGGUAAUACGGAAGGUCCGGGCGUUAUCCGGAUUUAUUGGGUUUAAAGGGAGCGUAGGCCGGAGAUUAAGCGUGUUGUGAAAUGUAGAUGCUCAACAUCUGAACUGCAGCGCGAACUGGUUUCCUUGAGUACGCACAAAGUGGGCGGAAUUCGUGGUGUAGCGGUGAAAUGCUUAGAUAUCACGAAGAACUCCGAUUGCGAAGGCAGCUCACUGGAGCGCAACUGACGCUGAAGCUCGAAAGUGCGGGUAUCGAACAGGAUUAGAUACCCUGGUAGUCCGCACGGUAAACGAUGGAUGCCCGCUGUUGGUCUGAAUAGGUCAGCGGCCAAGCGAAAGCAUUAAGCAUCCCACCUGGGGAGUACGCCGGCAACGGUGAAACUCAAAGGAAUUGACGGGGGCCCGCACAAGCGGAGGAACAUGUGGUUUAAUUCGAUGAUACGCGAGGAACCUUACCCGGGCUUGAAUUGCAGAGGAAGGAUUUGGAGACAAUGACGCCCUUCGGGGCCUCUGUGAAGGUGCUGCAUGGUUGUCGUCAGCUCGUGCCGUGAGGUGUCGGCUUAAGUGCCAUAACGAGCGCAACCCCUCUCCUUAGUUGCCAUCAGGU